UCUAUAAUUUCAGGUAAAGAGUAAGGUAUCUCUACGGUCGUCUUCCACCAGAACUUGUAAAAGAAGUUACUUUUGACCGCCAAGUGCCAUACGGAUGUAGAACGAUAAGCGAAGAAAGACUAAUCAAUAUCCUUACUUCUUACAUGGCUCUUGCAGGAGUUCUUUACAAUCCCUUAUUCUUCAACAAUUGGUUGCUGUCGAGCCCUAGAGAAGCUUCUCACUACACAUUCCGUUACUUGACACUUUCAAGCUCAUCUAUGGAUUCAAACAUCGAUAGAAGUUAUCAAAAGCAACGUUUUGUGGCGCAAAUAACUGGUUCUACAACAACAAAUGAUUGCUCCAACAAGAGAAUUCCCAUGUAUUAACUGUUGUCGGGUCUGAUUCAGGAGCUGGUGCUGGAAUUCAAGCUGAUUUGAAAACUUGUGCUGCUCGUGGAGUUUACUGUUCCACUGUCAUAACUGCUGUCACGGCACAGAACAAUGUUGGGGUUCAGGUUGCACUUUGAUAUUACUUUUCUCCUUAAAAAAAAAAAAUCCCGAAAUUGAAGCAAGCUUUUGUUUACUCAAAGAUUUUCUCAAACAGCUCGGUGGAGGGUAUUAACGCUUUGCCAGCAGAGUUUGUUGCAGAGCAGUAAUGAUUACAUUUUAUGGGUAUUUCAUUCAACUGGUUUCGUGAGUUGGUCUGACUGGUUUGAUUUUAUUGAGGUAAUUGGUCAUGAAUUAUGUCUUUUAGAACAGAUAAACUUACAGCAGUAUGUGUAUGCAUUUUAUAAGCGCAAAAGAAGAAAUAAUUAAGGAAAUUUAAUAUUCUUUUUGGAAAUUAUAAUAAACUAUUGGACAGAAGAAAAUUAUCAGUCGCUAUAAGUCCCAAUUUGAACUGAGCUUAUGGUAUCUCAUAAGAUUACAUAUAAUUUUCUUGAGUUGAAAAAUUAGGUCUUAAUUUGAAGAAAAGAUAAUAAAGUAGUCAAAUUGAAAAAGAGAUCAAUGCUCCCAAUAUUAAUUGAGUAUUAUGAAAGCACUUGGAUUUGAUAAGAUCCAAUACAAGUUUUUUAAGUUAAAAAAUUGGGAUUUAAUUUUGAAGAAUACAUAACAAACUAAUCUAGGGAAAAAAAAGCCCAAAUGCUCUAAGUCCCAAUACGAUUUAAAUUUUGACAGCAUUUGGAGAUAUCCCCAUGCUGUCCUUCUGGGGGAUUCACACUUCAUUUUUCUUGGCUGUUUAAGCUUUUUACCGUGCUGUUUCUGUCACCAAGAAUGUUUUUGGUGUCAGAAAAAAGAUCUUUUGAUGUGGUUUUGCAAGCAGAAGUGGAGGAUAUCCUUAGAAUCAGAAAAAGGUUCGCCUCUUAUCUUCUUAGCUUGGAAAUCAGAUAUUUGAAGCUUUAGGGCCAUAAUUCUUGAUCCAGAGUUUAUAAGAGUGAGGGCAGGUUAUCUCUAUCUGGUUGAAAUGGAACAGCAGGGGCAUCUUCUAGAGCUGAAAGAGAAGAACAAGGGCAGUAAAGGGAGUUUGAUGAUCCUCAAACCAAAGCAGAGGGUUGGUGGCAACUGUCAAUGGGGGUUUGUUUGGUUUCCGACAUCAAUUUAGAGGACAGGAAGAGGAAAGCCCUUGAGGAACCUUGCUGGUCGGAGGAAGAGGUAGAGAUGCCAAAGAAAUCGCCAGUUCUAGAGGCCUAAGGAUAAUGUUAAUGGGCCAAAUCUACCAAGACCAAAUUCCUCUAGGCAAGAGAAAGAAAAGUAAGCUGCUAAUGACCAUAAAAAGGCUGCUAGUAAUGCUGUUUCCUAAAGACCUUGCAAAAACAACCAAGCUGGUAAUAAAAAAACCAGACCAAGUGACAUGAUCCUAGACGGCUCAAAGUUAGUUCCCAAAGAGCAACCCCACAUCGAGGAGGAACCCCAAAAAAUCAGGAUUCUCGUAGGUCUUGUCCCAAACAGGCAAGCAAUUCUAAAUUCUUUUCAUUUCCUAAAUGGGGUCGACUCAAACGGGAAAUAAUCCUAGUUUCCUAAACUAGAACCCCCUGAAAAGAAAAGUAACUACAUCUCUAACUACUUUUCUCAACGGGAUUACUCCAAAGAAUGGGAAAAAUUUGUUCAAAGCAAGCUUAAAGCCCAAGUGAGAUUAAUGGGCUCGAAGGAUUGCAAGAAAGUCCAAAUGUUAGAUCAACCAGAGAAGGCCUCAAGACCAAACAGCCACGGCCCAAAGGAGAUCGCGCCAAAGGAAGCGGGCCAGCCCAUGCCGCGUCUUGGGAAGCUUUUGCCACACGCUUGUGCGGGAUGAACAAGCCACAAAGCCAACACGCCUGGGAAAAGUCGAAGCCGCCUGCAGCAGAGUGCGCAUGUGCGCGCAUUAACUCCAGCAGGCCACAUGCAGGACGCGCAUGUGGGGACAGCCUCUGCCGCAUGCAUGCACCAGCCAUGCACGCGAAGAAGCUUCUACGCGCGCUAGGCGCAGACAGCAAGCUUGCGAACCAAUUGCACGCGGACAGCCUGGACAGCAAGCUGUUUUCCUUCUCCAACUCCUUUUCCUUCCCUUAUUUCCACAUGUUUUCCAUGCUGCAACAAAGGAGGCUCCUACACAAAAUUGAAGUCCAAAAGAGCACAAAAGGAGUUAAGGAGUUCAAACAAAGGAAGAAGUAGUCUACUCCUAGUCAUUCGAUAUUAUUUUAUUAAUAUAAUUGGAGUUCUAGAUUAAGAUUCAAUUGUUUAAAUAAUUUCCAGCAAAAGUUCUGGUUAAAUUAGUUUUAAGAGUUCAAGUAGGAAUAUGUAAUCCUACUUUGGUUGUAUUCGUAAAAUAAAGUCUAUAUAAAGGUUUCAAUCUUUAGGUUGUAAUCACAACUAACAACUUUCAAGAUCAAUAAAAUUUGCAAGAUUUUGCUUCUUAAAAUUAGUGUUGUUGAUUUUCUUUUAGUGUUCUUUAAGUGUCUUCAAGGUAGGGAGUUUCAGAAGCCUUGUUGAGUCAGGGAAUCAGGAUUGAUUUAUCGGGUAAACUUUGACAUCCUUCCUUAUUCUUUUAUUUUUUCCAGUUAUUUUGAAUUUGCAUUCCAUAUUGGUGGGUGUAAUUUCAAGUAAAGAGGGUAAAUUGGGUGAUUAAGCUUUCCGGUGUCACGUUGUGUGAGGUUUUGGAAGUCAAAACAAUCAUUCCCCGACCCUCCCACGUCACCAAGUCCAUGUUUUAGAGCACUCUUCCUCAUCAAAAGGCUUGCUUUUCAACUAGGGAGCCAAACUGCCAGUCUCAAGGCAAUGCAUAAAAAGUGGAGGUAGAAACGUCUUCACAUUGUUUAUCAAGGUCUGAUUUCUUCCUCUCUGGAAUUUCCUCCUCUUUUGGCUAGACUUGGAACUUGUGAAAGGAGAGGUUGCUCCCAUGCUUGCUAAGGUAGUAAACCAGUUGCAGGGCAUGGUGUUUGCUGUAAUGGGCUGAUGAACAAAAGAGAAGUUUCUGUUUGCGUGAAAAAUAAUAUUGUGAAGAUGCAUAAGGAGUAUGAAGUGAGCUUGUAAGGUUUCAAACAACAAGCAUUCAAUUUGUUCUGUGCUAUGGAGGCUAAAAGAGAGGGAGAGUCCACUGAUGACAGGUCUCAUAAAAGCAGGAACAGGAGGGGCAAGGGUGAAAGAACAAGAAAAUCUAGGGAGCUUAAAUGGUUAGAAUGCAUAGCCAAUUAUGGUAAGAAGGGCACUUCAAGGAAGUUGAGGGAGAAAGAAGACAUGAAACCAUUAAUUAGAAUUAUUUUCUGGAACAUGAGGGGGUUGAACGUUAAGGGGUCAUAAUGAAGGGCUUCCUUAAGGAAUGGGGUGGCAGUCUAGUUUUUCUGCUAGAUACUAAAUUUGCAAGCAUGAGUGAGGAUAUUUUCAGGGUACAUACAGUAGGCAGGAGGUUGUUUGAUUGGAUCUAUCUGCAGAUGGGAGUGUUGGAGAAAUCAUUAUCUUGUGGGAAAAUCAACCAGAAAUGUUCGGUGUUGUACACUGAUGGUGCCCAUUUCUUGUGUAUGAAAAACAGAAGUGGGGGUGUUUCUUUCCUUUUCGUGGGGUGUAUGGAAAGGGGAAAGGUAGAGAUAGGCAUUUGUUAUGGAAUGAUCUUGAGGCAACUAGGGGUUAAUGGGGUAACUUGCCUUUGUUUGUGGGUGGUGGUUUUAAUACAGUGUUCUACUAUCAUGAUAAGUGCAAGAACAGAUUUCUCUUCGGUGUCUACUAUGAAUUUAGAUGUGUUGGAUACUGGAAGGUUAUUUAUCUCUCCCUCGUGCAGGGCAAAUGGACAUGGUCCAUUUUGAGAGAGGAUGCUUGCCUACCUCAUAUCGAUCAAUUUUGGUGUCUCUGUAUUUUUAAGAAUUGAUGCCUAACUUUAUCCAAAACUUUUGCUCAGGGUCAGUUUGAAUCACCAUCCCUUAUUUCUUGGCAAAUUUGGCAUUAGAUGAGCCACUUUCCUCUAGAUUUUAGAAUAAAUGGCUGAAGAUGCCUAGAUCUUGGUUGAUUAUAAGUUGGUGAAGAGAGGAGAACUCGAGAGGCUUUUGCUAGUUCUCGAGUUAUUAAAAAUCUUUCUUUCGUCCAAUCCAAAUAAAAGCUUGGAGCUCUGCUUUCAAUAACGGUGGUAGGUUUGUUGGGAAGGACUAGGCAGAUUGAUGUCCUCAAUCAAAGGGAGAGGGAAGGUUGACAAACUUGAUUCUUAUGGUGGAAGUGGUUUGAAGGCAGAGAUCUAGGUUCUUGUAGUAGGGGGACCGCAAUACUUAAUUUUUUCAUAGGAUUACCAAUUUCCAUUGCACAAAAAAUUUUAUAUCCCUAAUCAAGGUUAAUGGGAUUGGAUUCAAGCUUGAUAUGUUCCUAUCAACUGGAUCUGGUUGAACACUCCCCUCUGCUUGUUCGUGUGGAUGUGGAUGGUCUAUAGAUAAUUUUUCCAAUCUACCUUAUUUCAAAAAGAUUUUUUCCAAUCUGCCAGCCAGAAAUUUGUACUUUAACUGAUUGUCUUCAUGAUCUUCCUGGUAAAUUUUCAUGAAAGAUUCAAACUGGCCUGUAAUUCAAACCUUGGCUAUAAUUCACUCAUAACUUUUGGCUCUGAGACCAAAUUGUUAAGGCCCUUAGUGACAUAUCUAGUUAUAGAAAAUUGAAUCUAAUAAGAGUUUGGUAAUGUUUGUGAGUUUUUUUUUCCUUUGCCUAUUUUGAUAUCUACUUUAAGGACUCGUCAAGAGAGAGCCUUACUUUCUCUUGAGAAAAAGUACUUAAACUUUUUCUUUAGUUUUGUUCAUACGUAAUUCUGUCUUCAUACAUAAUUCUGUCUCCAAGAGACUGCAGCUUUUGUUACAAACAAAGGAGUAGUUACCUAAAAGUUAUUUUCAGAUUUAUCUUGACUAGCAUUUUGUUCUUAUCUUAAUAUUCAGCCUUACAUUUUUUGAAGCAUAAAUUUGAUGCAUGUGGAGUAGCCAAGGAUUUUGUGGCAUAUGUUAAAAGGCAAAUUGGUUACUCUUUCAAAACUUUAAGAACUGAUAAAGGCACAUAAUAUAUUACUUGUGAUGAUUUUUAAGAAAACAUGAAAUUAAGCAUCAGUUACUGACUAGGUACACUCCUCAACAAAACGAAGUGGCAGAAAGAAAAAAUAGAACCAUUAUGGAUAUGGUGAAGAGCAUGUUGCAUUGUAAGAAGUUACCUAAGUUUUUGGGCAGAAGCCAUUGCUUGUACAGUUUAUGUUGUAAACAGAUGUCCUGUUAAAAGUGUUCGUAAUAAAAUCCCACAAGAAGUGUAAAGCGAACAAAAGCCUAAUUUGAGUCGUAUGAGGAUAUUUGGUUCAAUUACUUAUUCACAUGUAGCAGAUGAGUUAAGGAAAAAACUUGAAGACAAAGCGGACAAAUGCAUCUUCACUGGUUACUGUAUGGAAACAAAGAGCUACAAGGUGUACAAUCCAAAGGCCCAAAAAGAUAAUCAUUAGCCGUGGUGUUAACUUUUGAUGAAGAUGGAGUAUGGGAAUGGUGAGAAGAAGAAAA